rnacentral:rRNA from 1 species
AGCAUUCAGUUGGGCACUCUAAGGUGACUGCCGGCUAAAAGUCGGAGGAAGGUGGGGGAGUGACGUCAAAUCAUCAUGCCCCUUAUGACCUGGGCUACACACGUGCUACAAUGGGCGGUACAAAGGGUCGCGAACCCGCGAGGGGGAGCCAAUCCCAAAAAAGCCGCUCUCAGUUCGGAUUGCAGGCUGCAACUCGCCUGCAUGAAGCCGGAAUCGCUAGUAAUCGCGGAUCAGCAUGCCGCGGUGAAUACGUUCCCGGGCCUU